rnacentral:rRNA from 1 species
AGAGACCUUCGGGUCUCUAGUGGCGAACGGGUGAGUAACACGUAGGGAACCUGCCCGCGCACCGGGAAUACGCUCUGGAAACGGAGAACAAAUCCCGAUGUACAGGAAGGAGGCAUCUUCUUUCUGUGAAACAUCCUCUAGGGGAUGGGGCGCGGAUGGACCUGCGGUGCAUUAGUUUGUUGGCGGGGUAAAGGCCCACCAAGACGAUGAUGCAUAGCCGGCCUGAGAGGGCGGACGGCCACAUUGGGACUGAGACACGGCCCAGACUCCUGCGGGAGGCAGCAGUAGGGAAUUUUCGUCAAUGGGCGCAAGCCUGAACGAGCGAUGCCGCGUGAGUGAAGAAGGCCUUCGGGUCGUAAAGCUCUGUUGCGGGGGAAAAAAGGCAGCAUCAGGAAAUGGGUGCUGACUGAUGGUGCCCCGCCAGAAAGUCACGGCUAACUGCGUGCCAGCAGCCGCGGUAAUACGUAGGUGGCAAGCGUUGUCCGGAUUUAUUGGGCGUAAAGCGAGUGCAGGCGGUUCAAUAAGUCUGAUGUGAAAAACAUUAGCUACAACCGGAACAAUUGCAUCAGAACAUCUUGAACUGGAGUGCAGAAGAGGAGAAGUGGAACUCCCAUGGUGUAGCGGGGGAAAGGGGUAGAUAUAUGGAAAGAACACCAGUGGACGAAGGCGGCUCUCUGGUUAGCAACUGACGCUGAGGCUCGAAAGCAUGGGUAGCGAACAGGAUUAGAUACCCUGGUAGUCCAUGCCGUAAACGAUGAGUGCUAAGUGUUGGGAGGUUUCCGCCUCUCAGUGCUGCAGCUAACGCAUUAAGCACUCCGCCUGGGGAGUACGACCGCAAGGUUGAAACUCAAAGGAAUUGACGGGGGCCCGCACAAGCGGUGGAGCAUGUGGUUUAAUUCGAAGCAACGCGAAGAACCUUACCAGGUCUUGACAUCCAGUGCAAACCUAAGAGAUUAGGUGUUCCCUUCGGGGACGCUGAGACAGGUGGUGCAUGGCUGUCGUCAGCUCGUGUUGUGAGAUGUUGGGUUAAGUCCCGCAACGAGCGCAACCCUUGUCAUUAGUUGCCAUCAUUAAGUUGGGCACUCUAAUGAGACUGCCGGUGACAAACCGGAGGAAGGUGGGGAUGACGUCAAGUCAUCAUGCCCCUUAUGACCUGGGCUACACACGUGCUACAAUGGACGGUACAACGAGAAGCGAACCUGCGAAGGCAAGCGGAUCUCUUAAAGCCGUUCUCAGUUCGGACUGUAGGCUGCAACUCGCCUACACGAAGCUGGAAUCGCUAGUAAUCGCGGAUCAGCACGCCGCGGUGAAUACGAUCCCGGGCCUUGCACUCACCGCCCGUCA